GGUUAAGCGACUAAGCGUACACGGUGGAUGCCCUGGCAGUCAGAGGCGAUGAAGGACGUGCUAAUCUGCGAUAAGCGUCGGUAAGGUGAUAUGAACCGUUAUAACCGGCGAUUUCCGAAUGGGGAAACCCAGUGUGUUUCGACACACUAUCAUUAACUGAAUCCAUAGGUUAAUGAGGCGAACCGGGGGAACUGAAACAUCUAAGUACCCCGAGGAAAAGAAAUCAACCGAGAUUCCCCCAGUAGCGGCGAGCGAACGGGGAGCAGCCCAGAGCCUGAAUCAGUGUGUGUGUUAGUGGAAGCGUCUGGAAAGGCGCGCGAUACAGGGUGACAGCCCCGUACACAAAAAUACACAUACUGUGAGCUCGAUGAGUAGGGCGGGACACGUGGUAUCCUGUCUGAAUAUGGGGGGACCAUCCUCCAAGGCUAAAUACUCCUGACUGACCGAUAGUGAACCAGUACCGUGAGGGAAAGGCGAAAAGAACCCCGGCGAGGGGAGUGAAAAAGAACCUGAAACCGUGUACGUACAAGCAGUGGGAGCACGCUUAGGCGUGUGACUGCGUACCUUUUGUAUAAUGGGUCAGCGACUUAUAUUCUGUAGCAAGGUUAACCGAAUAGGGGAGCCGAAGGGAAACCGAGUCUUAACUGGGCGUUAAGUUGCAGGGUAUAGACCCGAAACCCGGUGAUCUAGCCAUGGGCAGGUUGAAGGUUGGGUAACACUAACUGGAGGACCGAACCGACUAAUGUUGAAAAAUUAGCGGAUGACUUGUGGCUGGGGGUGAAAGGCCAAUCAAACCGGGAGAUAGCUGGUUCUCCCCGAAAGCUAUUUAGGUAGCGCCUCGUGAAUUCAUCUCCGGGGGUAGAGCACUGUUUCGGCAAGGGGGUCAUCCCGACUUACCAACCCGAUGCAAACUGCGAAUACCGGAGAAUGUUAUCACGGGAGACACACGGCGGGUGCUAACGUCCGUCGUGAAGAGGGAAACAACCCAGACCGCCAGCUAAGGUCCCAAAGUCAUGGUUAAGUGGGAAACGAUGUGGGAAGGCCCAGACAGCCAGGAUGUUGGCUUAGAAGCAGCCAUCAUUUAAAGAAAGCGUAAUAGCUCACUGGUCGAGUCGGCCUGCGCGGAAGAUGUAACGGGGCUAAACCAUGCACCGAAGCUGCGGCAGCGACGCUUAUGCGUUGUUGGGUAGGGGAGCGUUCUGUAAGCCUGCGAAGGUGUGCUGUGAGGCAUGCUGGAGGUAUCAGAAGUGCGAAUGCUGACAUAAGUAACGAUAAAGCGGGUGAAAAGCCCGCUCGCCGGAAGACCAAGGGUUCCUGUCCAACGUUAAUCGGGGCAGGGUGAGUCGACCCCUAAGGCGAGGCCGAAAGGCGUAGUCGAUGGGAAACAGGUUAAUAUUCCUGUACUUGGUGUUACUGCGAAGGGGGGACGGAGAAGGCUAUGUUGGCCGGGCGACGGUUGUCCCGGUUUAAGCGUGUAGGCUGGUUUUCCAGGCAAAUCCGGAAAAUCAAGGCUGAGGCGUGAUGACGAGGCACUACGGUGCUGAAGCAACAAAUGCCCUGCUUCCAGGAAAAGCCUCUAAGCAUCAGGUAACAUCAAAUCGUACCCCAAACCGACACAGGUGGUCAGGUAGAGAAUACCAAGGCGCUUGAGAGAACUCGGGUGAAGGAACUAGGCAAAAUGGUGCCGUAACUUCGGGAGAAGGCACGCUGAUAUGUAGGUGAGGUCCCUCGCGGAUGGAGCUGAAAUCAGUCGAAGAUACCAGCUGGCUGCAACUGUUUAUUAAAAACACAGCACUGUGCAAACACGAAAGUGGACGUAUACGGUGUGACGCCUGCCCGGUGCCGGAAGGUUAAUUGAUGGGGUUAGCGCAAGCGAAGCUCUUGAUCGAAGCCCCGGUAAACGGCGGCCGUAACUAUAACGGUCCUAAGGUAGCGAAAUUCCUUGUCGGGUAAGUUCCGACCUGCACGAAUGGCGUAAUGAUGGCCAGGCUGUCUCCACCCGAGACUCAGUGAAAUUGAACUCGCUGUGAAGAUGCAGUGUACCCGCGGCAAGACGGAAAGACCCCGUGAACCUUUACUAUAGCUUGACACUGAACAUUGAGCCUUGAUGUGUAGGAUAGGUGGGAGGCUUAGAAGUGUGGACGCCAGUCUGCAUGGAGCCGACCUUGAAAUACCACCCUUUAAUGUUUGAUGUUCUAACGUUGACCCGUAAUCCGGGUUGCGGACAGUGUCUGGUGGGUAGUUUGACUGGGGCGGUCUCCUCCUAAAGAGUAACGGAGGAGCACGAAGGUUGGCUAAUCCUGGUCGGACAUCAGGAGGUUAGUGCAAUGGCAUAAGCCAGCUUGACUGCGAGCGUGACGGCGCGAGCAGGUGCGAAAGCAGGUCAUAGUGAUCCGGUGGUUCUGAAUGGAAGGGCCAUCGCUCAACGGAUAAAAGGUACUCCGGGGAUAACAGGCUGAUACCGCCCAAGAGUUCAUAUCGACGGCGGUGUUUGGCACCUCGAUGUCGGCUCAUCACAUCCUGGGGCUGAAGUAGGUCCCAAGGGUAUGGCUGUUCGCCAUUUAAAGUGGUACGCGAGCUGGGUUUAGAACGUCGUGAGACAGUUCGGUCCCUAUCUGCCGUGGGCGCUGGAGAACUGAGGGGGGCUGCUCCUAGUACGAGAGGACCGGAGUGGACGCAUCACUGGUGUUCGGGUUGUCAUGCCAAUGGCACUGCCCGGUAGCUAAAUGCGGAAGAGAUAAGUGCUGAAAGCAUCUAAGCACGAAACUUGCCCCGAGAUGAGUUCUCCCUGACCCUUUAAGGGUCCUGAAGGAACGUUGAAGACGACGACGUUGAUAGGCCGGGUGUGUAAGCGCAGCGAUGCGUUGAGCUAACCGGUACUAAUGAACCGUGAGGCUUAACCUU
rnacentral:rRNA from 1 species